rnacentral:rRNA from 1 species
CCUACGGGCGGCAGCAGUCGAGAAUAAUUCACAAUGGGGGAAACCCUGAUGGUGCGACGCCGCGUGGGGGAAUGAAGGUCUUCGGAUUGUAAACCCCUGUCAUGUGGGUGCAAAUUAAAACGGUAGUACCAUAAGAGGCAACGACGGCUAACUCUGUGCCAGCAGCCGCGGUAAUACAGAGGUAUCAAGCGUUGUUCGGAAUCACUGGGCGUAAGGCGUGCGUAGGCUGUUUCGUAAGUCGUGUGUGAAAUGCGCGGGCUCAACCCGCGGACGGCACAAGAUACUGCGAGACUAGAGUGAUGGAGGGGGAAGUGGAAUUCUCGGUGUAGCAGUGAAAUGCGUAGAUAUCGGGAGGAACACUCGGGGCGAAGGCGGCUUCCUGAACAUUAACUGACGCUGAGGCACGAAGGCCAGGGGAGCGAAAGGGAUUAGAUACCCGAGUAGUC